GAUAAGUACAUAGAAGAAGUGCUGAAAGAGUUCUGCAUUGAAACCUUCAAGAGAGAUCUGUUAUCCUUCUGUAUAUAGGUGUAUGCCAUGCUAUGUACUCGACUUGCUAUAUCUUGCUGUGAAAGUCAUGAGCAAAUAUUAGUUGAAUCCAGAUUGGGAGCAUUGGAUUGCUGUGAAAAUACUCCUCAGUACUUGAGAAGCACUAAGGAAUUAUUCCUCAUCUUUGAAGAAGGGA
rnacentral:lncRNA from 1 species